UUUUUAUUCUCCUCAGAGAGUGUCUGCAUAGGGCUGUGCCCAUCGUGGAGAGCUGGUGCUUGUACCUGACACGGCUUAUUGCUAUGGAAACUCACGAGCCGUUCAUUUCUGGAAUCUUCCUUCUGUGAUUUCAGGUUGCAGGUGGCAGCAGGACCGACUUCUGCCUCUAUUUCUCUGCUGGGUCAGGACGGGGAGAGGGGAGCUAGCGGCCGCGCAUGCGCAGUCCCGGGAUGCUGCCUCUGGCGCCCGCCUGCCCGUCCCUGUCCCACGCAGUUUGGCGCCCUCUGCCGGUGACUGGGCCCUCGUGCGUGCUGCGGACCCCAUGGCGCAACGUCCAGGAGAUUCCUGGGAGACCAGAUGGGAAAACUGAGGUGCGGAGAGACCCCCAAAGCUGGGAAGUGGCAAGACGGAUUCACCCGAGCCAAGAGGAUGGGUCUGUGUGGGGUGUGGUGGCCAGGCAGGUGACUGCCACACCCUGAUGGGCUGAAGCAGGAGGGACCCAAUUUCAAGUCCAGCCUGGGCAACUUAGACCCUGUCUCAAGGUCUAAAAGAAACAAAAUAAAGAAGAACUGGGGAGUGUAGCUCAGUGUGCCCAUGUCGGCGUCUUCAUCCUCCUAGAGCAAAUGGGGAAUUGAGCCUGAGGUCACCACUGCAUGUUAGGUAGACAGUUCAGUCGGUAAUGCAAAUGAGCCCGACUCAGUUUGAUUAUUUUAAUUGUCCCAGUCUGCAUUGGUUCUGAUAAGCAUCUAGCAGCUGCUCAGAUCCUCCAUCACCCCAGCUGCGUCCGUGGUGAGCUCUGGUACACUGCGUAGGUCUGUCUUCACACUCGAACACGGGAGGGCUCUGUUCCUCGGGUCCUGUGCGAAUUCCCCUGUCUUCAGCAGUGGGAACUUUCCUCCCUUCUGCUCUGAGUCUCGUGUGACCACCAGGGUAGUUGUGGGCACUGCUACCAAGCUGUGUCUCCACCCAAAGUGACACGUAGGAGUUCUAACCCUCCAAUGUCUCAAUCUGCAACUGUGCUUAGAUAUAAUAAGGCCUUUUAGUGUUUUGAGAUAGAGUCUUACCAUGUAGCCCA
rnacentral:lncRNA from 1 species